rnacentral:lncRNA from 1 species
AAAUUCCUUGCUUACUCAUAGCAAAAAAUUUGAAACAUAAUUAUGUAAUAAUUGCCUUAAAUUUGUUCUUUAUUUUUCCUGUGUCAUCAGAGACUUGAUGUUAUUAUGGCAUUCUGUAACUAAAGUUAAAUAUUUUACUUUAACAGAAAACUCAUGUUAAUCCUCUUUUCCCAAAACAUCUUUCCAUAAACACAAAUUUUCUUCCCUUCCUCUUGUUUUGUCCUUUUCUUCUCUCAGAUUCUGUUUUUCUCUCUCUCUUAUACAAACACACACAGCUCACACACACACAAAGUCAUUUUGUUACUAUAUAGUAGAUGGAGUACUCAUUUUAAUUCCAGGGCAUAGCCUAUUGUAUUAGUCAGGGUUUUCUAAAGGUGCAGAAGUAAUAGGAUAGAUGUGUAUAUGAAGGGGAGUUUAUAAAGGAGUGCUGACUCACACAAUCCAAGGUGAAGUCCCACAAUAGACCACCUGCAAGCUGAGGAGCAAGAAAGCCAGUCCAAGUCCAAAAAACUCAAAAGUAGGGAAGCCAACAGUGCAGCCUUCAGUUUGUGGCUGAAGGCUUGAAAGCUCCUGGCAAACCACUGGUGUAAGUCCAAGAAUCCAAAAGCUGAAGAACCUGGAGUCUGAUGUUUGAGGGCGGGAAGCAUCCAGCAUGGGAGAAAGGUAAAAGCCUGAAGACUCAGAAACUCAAGUCCUUCCACAUUCUUCUGCCUGCUUUAUUCUAGCCACACUGGCAGCUGAUUAGAUGGUGCCCACCCAGAUUGAAGGUGGGUCUGCCUCUCCUAGUCCACUGACUCAAAUGUUAAUCUCCUUUGGCAACACCCUCAUAGACACACCCAGGAACAAUAUUUUGCAUCCUUCAAUCCAAUCAAGUUGACAACUCAAUAUUAACCAUCACACCUAUUAAUAACACUGGGUGCAUGUAUCAGGCAGCACCAUGUUAACUAAAGGCUUUGCUUUAAUCCCAUAAAGUCCUCACAGUAAUUCCAGGAGCAAACAUUAUUGUUCUUUUUUCACAGAUGAGGAAAAUAAAGCCCAGAGUGUUCCAGUGAUGGGCCUCGAUUCACUCAGCUUCAAGUCGGCCAGACUCCAAUGCGCAGGCUCAAUCAGGUUCAGACUUGGUAUUUGUCUUUCUGGAUCAUGCUGGGGUAUGAUUCUCAUUGCGGACAGAAUAACAACAAGAAGACCUUGAGAAUAAGCAUCAAUUUGUGAGCCCCAAGGGCGAAGAAGCUUUCCUGAAGCAACAACAGGAACAGGAAGCAAAAAGGAUUUGAAAUGAAAUAGCAAGGGAUUCCUGAUGCAUGGAAUAACACCUUCUAUUACUAGUCUUAUGCAGAUAUUAUGUACUUUUGAAGGCCCAGCCCGAAUUUUUUUUGGGUGACCUGAUUAUCCAUUAUGUAUUUGAUAGUCAUACAUAGCAGAGUGUAAUAUUGGGAUAAUAAAUUGUUUUUGUUUUCAAUAUGUUACCUUUGCCCCAAUUCAAACUUUUUCUAGUUUCUUAGUAUUUGCUGGCCCCAGAUAAAAUAUUAGAUGACACUAUCUCUCCAGGCUCUUGCUAAAAGCCUGAACUCAUUGUGGGUUACCGAAGGGUGGGCUGGAUGAGCUGGAUGAGCCGAUUGAUAGGACUCUGAGGAGAGAGCAAGACUUAGAGGAGGAGGGUAAAUGAGAGCACUACAGAAGCUAAACCACAGGACAAGAGUGCCUCAUAUUUUCAUGUGUCCUGUGCUUGGGGGGAUGGCACCGAAGCAGCAAAGCCAUUUGCUGAGAGAUUACUUCACACAGUCCUGGUGAUAGAACCUGGGCUUUGUGGAUAAAGCAAGGGAGUCAAGCCAAGCUUUCCUUGUAACAAGUGACAGGGAAAGAAGAACAAGGUAUAACACACACGCUUCUGAUGUAUUCUUCUCUUUAGUAUUAGGAACUGGAUUGAAUAAGUGAAUUGAUACUUCAGACAUCUUCCACUCCUUAAAUUGAGACACUGGAAUACUAUUUAUAUACCAUUUUUGUUUCUUUAAAUUUUUUUAUUUAUUUAUAGAUGUCAUACAAUGAGAGA